rnacentral:rRNA from 1 species
GACGAACGCUGGCGGCGUGCUUAACACAUGCAAGUCGAGCGAGGCCCCUCCUUCGGGAGGGUGUCCUAGCGGCGAACGGGUGAGUAACACGUGGGCAACCUGCCCUCAGCUCUGGGAUAACUCCGGGAAACCGGGGCUAAUACCGGAUACGACCUCCACGGGCAUCUGCGGAGGUGGAAAGUUUUUCGGCUGAGGAUGGGCCCGCGGCCUAUCAGCUAGUUGGUGGGGUAGUGGCCCACCAAGGCGACGACGGGUAGCCGGCCUGAGAGGGCGACCGGCCACACUGGGACUGAGACACGGCCCAGACUCCUACGGGAGGCAGCAGUGGGGAAUAUUGCGCAAUGGGCGAAAGCCUGACGCAGCGACGCCGCGUGAGGGACGAAGGCCUUGGGUUGUAAACCUCUUUCAGCAGGGACGAAGCGAAAGUGACGGUACCUGCAGAAGAAGCACCGGCCAACUACGUG